UUCAAACACCAGUUCUCGUACGAUCACCGAAGUUAAGCAACAUCGAGCCUGGUCAGUACCUAGAGAAGUGACCAGUUAGAAAUACCAGGUGCUGUAA